AUUCUACUCCCUCCGCUGCACAAUACAUGCCUUCUAUUUGUCAAAAUAUAUAUGUAUCUAGACAUGUUUUAGUAUAUAGGUACAUCCAUUUUUGGACAAAUGGAAGUCAAGUAUUUUGGUACGGAGGGAGUACACA
rfam:Triticum aestivum genome assembly, contig: Triticum_aestivum_CS42_TGACv1_scaffold_221093_3B